rnacentral:ncRNA from 1 species
CGCUCAUCGAGAGAGGUGGAGGGACCGGCCCUGUGAAACCUCGGCAACCGCGGAUGAAAACGAAGGUGCCAAUUCCGGCAGAACCCGCUCACAACGGGCGUUCUGGAAGAUGAGGA